AUAUAUCGCUUUUAAAAAUUGUAUUAUACAAAUUCAUAAUACUUGAUAAUAAAUGAAAUCAUAAGUAACUUUUAUAAAAGCAUAUACAAAACUUUUAUCAUAAAGGACAGUUUACAACAAAAACUGAAUAUAGCAAAUAAUGUGAUGGUAUAACUUAUCUUCUAAUGAAAACCUUAUAAACUAAAUGUUCACAGUUCUUAAGAUGCUUCAAGAUUAAAUUACACAAAUAAACAAUCUAUUUAAGCUGAAACUCUCCAACUGCUAAACCAAAUUUUGUAUAAUUUCUUCUUAUUGCAACUUGAAUGUUUUAGUUUCUUUCUCAAUUAUGUUGUUAAAUAUAUUACUGAUCAUAAUUAAGGUAAUUCCGUACAAAAAAAUAAAUGAAAAUUUGUGCCAUUAAUAACAGUUAUGGUCAUUUUUCAAAAACAUUAAACAUAAAAAAAACCACUUAUUUUAUCUUGAAAGUAUAAAUGAAUUCUUUAAAAAGCAAUGUUCUGAAAAGAGAAGCAACAAAAACAAGACACAAAAUGACUGAUCCCUUUAUCUUAAACAUACUUUACAUAAUAAAUAAUUUCAACAACCGUCGAUAUUUCCUCACAAUUUAUAUUACUUUCCCUACAUACAUUCUUCUUUUACAACUAUAAAACUGAAAUAUGACAUUUGUUAAUUGUUUUGUGACAUAAAAUAUCUAUAAACAAGAGCUGCGGCUAAUGCAACACCAAAUGGAAUCAGCCAGCCAGUCAAGGAACU
rnacentral:lncRNA from 1 species